rnacentral:lncRNA from 1 species
GUGGCUUCGCGACUGCGGAAGGUUGCCCGGGCUGGCGCCGCUGGGCAGAGCCGGUGCGACGUUUCCCUUUCCAGCUUUGUUCUUCCGGCCCUGCUGUCUGCCUCCCCGGCUGAUUGGAUUCGUUACUGCUUUGCAACGCGCACCUAACUCCAGACGGGGUCUCACUCUGUCGCCCAGGCUGGAGUGCAGUGGCACAAUCUCAGCUUGCUGUGACCUCAGCUCUCUGCGACCUCUGCUUGCUGGACUCAAGCGAUCCUCCCACCACCUCAGCCUCCUGAGUAGCUGGAACCAUCAUAUGCACCAGCACGCCUGGCUAAGCUGGAAUGCAAUAGCGUGGUCUUGGCUCACUGCAACCUCCGCCUCCCGGGUUCAAGCAAUUCUCCUGCCUCAGCCUCCUAAGUAGCUGGGACUACAGAUGGAGUCUCAUUCUGUUGCCCAGGCUGGAGUGCAGUGGUGCGAUCUCUGCUCACUGCAAGUUCCGCCUCCCGGGUUCCUG